UUGAUGUUGAUGCGACGUCGCACCAACCAGCAUCGUGGGCCUGAUUUUGCAGCGAAUUUUGGCUGUCAAUUAUUCUUGAAUUUCAGCAACUAAACGUAAUUUGGUGCUUGAUUUUUGAAAAAUACUGCGUGUCAUCGUGGCAAGUACAAAUAAAUAAUCUGUCGGUAAACUUUAUGGCAGUGUUAUCUUAAUAUUGGAAGGGCUCUCUUCUGGUAAGUUGUAUCAUUAAAUAAUCUUACUGUUUCGUA
rnacentral:lncRNA from 1 species